CCUACGGGUGGCUGCAGUGAGGAAUAUUGGUCAAUGGUCGCGAGCCUGAACCAGCCAAGUCGCGUGAAGGAGGACUGUCCAGCGUGUCGUAAACCUCUUUUGUCAGGGAAUAAAGUCUGGCACGUGUCCCCUUUUGAGUGUACUUUAUGAAUAAGCAUCGGCUAACUCCGUGCCAGCAGCCGCGGUAAUACGGAGGAUUCGAGCGUUAUCCGGAUUUAUUGGGUUUAAAGGGAGGGUAGAUGGGUUGUUAAGUCAGGGGUGAAAGGUGGGGGCUCAACCGCAGAAUUGCAAUUGAUACUGGCAGUCUGGAGUUGAGGAGAGGUAGGCGGAAUGCGCGGUGUAGCGGUGAAAUGCAUAGAUAUCACGCAGAACUCCGAUUGCGAAGGCAGCAUACUAAAUUGACACUGACACUGAGGCACGAAAGCGUGGGUAUCAAACAGGAUUAGAUACCCGAGUAGUC
rnacentral:rRNA from 1 species